rnacentral:rRNA from 1 species
AGAGUUUGAUCAUGGCUCAGAACGAACGCUGGCGGCGUGCCUAACACAUGCAAGUCGAGCGGGUGUGGUAGCAAUACUGCAUUUAGCGGCGCACGGGUGAGUAAUGCAUGGGAAUCUGCCCUUGUGGAGGGGAAUAGCUUCGGGAAACUGAAGGUAAUACCCCGUAAGUAGCGCAAGCUAGAAAGGUUGGGACUUUGAAAGAGGCCAGCCGCCAUAGGAUGAGCCCAUGUCCCAUUAGCUAGUUGGCGGGGUAACAGCCCACCAAGGCGAAGAUGGGUAGCUGGUCUGAGAGGACGAUCAGCCACACUGGAACUGAGACACGGUCCAGACUCCUACGGGAGGCAGCAGUGGGGAAUAUUGCGCAAUGGGCGAAAGCCUGACGCAGCAACGCCGCGUGAGUGAUGAAGGCCUUCGGGUUGUAAAGCUCUUUCGGCUGGGAAGAAGGGUAUUUGUGUUAAUAGUACAGAUAUUUGAUGGUACCAGAAGAAGAAGCACCGGCAAACUUCGUGCCAGCAGCCGCGGUAAUACGAAGGGUGCGAGCGUUGUUCGGAAUGAUUGGGCGUAAAGGGUUCGUAGGCUGGAAUGUAAGUGAGGUGUGAAAUCCCCGGGCUCAACCCGGGAGUGGCACCUCAGACUGCAAUUCUUGAGUGUUGGAGAGGGUAGUGGGAAUUGCUGGUGUAGGAGUGACAUCCGUAGAGAUCAGCAGGAACACCGGAGGCGAAAGCGACUACCUGGCCAAAUACUGACGCUGAGGAACGAAAGCGUGGGGGAGCAAACAGAAUUAGAUACUCUGGUAGUCCGCGCCGUAAACGAUGAUAACUAGGUGUUGGGGGAAUUGACCCCUCCAGUACCGCAGCUCACGCGAUAAGUUAUCCGCCUGGGGAGUACGGCCGCAAGGCUAAAACUCAAAGGAAUUGACGGGGGCCCGCACAAGCGGUGGAGUAUGUGGUUUAAUUCGAAGCAACGCGAAGAACCUUACCUGGGUUUGACAUCCUUGGACCGGCGUAGAAAUACGUCUUUUCCGCAAGGAACCAAGAGACAGGUGCUGCAUGGCUGUCGUCAGCUCGUGUCGUGAGAUGUUGGGUUAAGUCCCGCAACGAGCGCAACCCAUGUCCUGAGUUGCCACCAUUAAGUUGGGCACUUUCGGGAGACUGCCGAUGAUAAAUCGGAGGAAGGUGUGGAUGACGUCAAGUCCUCAUGGCCCUUACAUCCAGGGCUACACACGUACUACAAUGGCCGAAACAAAGCGAAGCGAAGCCGAGAGGUGGAGCCAAUCGCAAAAACACGGUCUCAGUUCGGAUUGUGGUCUGCAACUCGACCACAUGAAGUUGGAAUCGCUAGUAAUCGCAGAUCAGCAGGCUGCGGUGAAUACGUUCCCGGGCCUUGUACACACCGCCCGUCAAACCACGAAAGUUGUAUAAGCCAGAAGCGCGUGAGCCGACCCGCAAGGGAGGCAGCGUGCCAAGGUUUGUGCGAUGAUUGGGGUUAAGUCGUAACAAGGUA